rnacentral:misc_RNA from 1 species
GAUGAAGAACGUAGCGAAAUGCGAUAAGUAAUGUGAAUUGCAGAAUUCAGUGAAUCAUCGAAUCUUUGAACGCACAUUGCGCCCGCCAGUAUUCUGGCGGGCAUGCCUGUUCGAGCGUCAUUUCAACCCUCAGGGCCCUUUUGGACCUGGCGUUGGGGCUCGGCCGCUACCCUGCGGCCGUCCCCGAAAGAUAGUGGCGGUCUCGCUGUAGCCUCCUCUGCGUAGUAGUUACAUCUCGCACUGGAACGCGGCGCGGCCAUGCCGUUAAACACCCCACCUCUCAAGGUUGACCUCGGAUCAGGUAGGAAUACCCGCUGAACUUAAGCAUAUCAAUAAGCGGAGGA